rnacentral:lncRNA from 1 species
CAAGGACAUCGAUGUCUGUGACAAGGGGCUAGACACAUCUGGAGCUGGACACGAUUUUCCCAGUCUUUAUCUAGUAUUCUGGGGGUGGAGGGUGGGGAGAGUGCCAACAGAACUAGCACUGGUUGUGAGGACUGGACUCCUCUUCUGGUCUCUUCAGGAUGAUGAGGGUCUCAUCUUUGCAGAGUACUUCAGGUGAGGCGACUAGGCAGCCUGCAGGGCCAGCAGCAAAACUUCUAAAAUAUUGGGCUGGAGAGAUGGCUCAGUGGUUAAGAGCACCGACUGCUCUUCCAGAGGUCCUGAGUUCAAUUCCCAGCAACCAGAUGGUGGCUCACAGCCAUCUGUAAAGAGAUCUGAUGCCCUCUUCUGGUGUGUGAAGACAGCUACAGGGUACUUAUGUAUAAUAAAUGAAUAAAUCUUUU